CAGCCGCCGCGGUAAUACGGAGGGAGCUAGCGUUGUUCGGAAUUACUGGGCGUAAAGCGCACGUAGGCGGUUAUUCAAGUCAGAGGUGAAAGCCCGGGGCUCAACCCCGGAACUGCCUUUGAAACUAGAUGACUAGAAUCUUGGAGAGGUCAGUGGAAUUCCGAGUGUAGAGGUGAAAUUCGUAGAUAUUCGGAAGAACACCAGUGGCGAAGGCGACUGACUGGACAAGUAUUGACGCUGAGGUGCGAAAGCGUGGGGAGCGAACAGGAUUAGAUACCCCCGUAGUCCCUGUCUCUUAUAC
rnacentral:rRNA from 1 species